rfam:Chaetura pelagica isolate M959 contig36227, whole genome shotgun sequence.
GCUGGUGUAAGUGAUGACUUUUUUCCCCAACGGAACGACAGUGUUGAUUUCUUGCUGUUCAAGCCAGGUCAUGUCUGAUGCACCAGC